rnacentral:rRNA from 1 species
GAUGAACGCUGGCGGCGUGCCUAACACAUGCAAGUCGAGCGAUUCUCUUCGGAGAAGAGCGGCGGACGGGUGAGUAACGCGUGGGUAACCUGCCCUGUGCACACGGAUAACAUACCGAAAGGUAUGCUAAUACGAGAUAAUAUGCUUUUAUCGCAUGGUAGAAGUAUCAAAGCUCUGGCGGUACAGGAUGGACCCGCGUCUGAUUAGCUAGUUGGUAAGGUAACGGCUUACCAAGGCGACGAUCAGUAGCCGACCUGAGAGGGUGAUCGGCCACAUUGGAACUGAGACACGGUCCAAACUCCUACGGGAGGCAGCAGUGGGGAAUAUUGCACAAUGGGCGAAAGCCUGAUGCAGCAACGCCGCGUGAGCGAUGAAGGCCUUCGGGUCGUAAAGCUCUGUCAUCAAGGAAGAUAAUGACGGUACUUGAGGAGGAAGCCCCGGCUAACUACGUGCCAGCCGCCGCCGUAA